AGUGAACGCUGGCGGUAUGCCUAACACAUGCAAGUCGAACGGCAGCACAGUAAGAGCUUGCUCUUACGGGUGGCGAGUGGCGGACGGGUGAGGAAUACAUCGGAAUCUACUUUUUCGUGGGGGAUAACGUAGGGAAACUUACGCUAAUACCGCAUACGACCUACGGGUGAAAGCAGGGGAUCUUCGGACCUUGCGCGAUUGAAUGAGCCGAUUUCGGAUUAGCUAGUUGGCGGGGUAAGGGCCCACCAAGGCGACGAUCCGUAGCUGGUCUGAGAGGAUGAUCAGCCACACUGGAACUGAGACACGGUCCAGACUCCUACGGGGGGCAGCAGUGGGGAAUAUUGGACAAUGGGCGAAAGCCUGAUCCAGCCAUACCGCGUGGGUGAAGAAGGCCUUCGGGUUGUAAAGCCCUUUUGUUGGGAAAGAAAAGCAGCAGGUUAAUACCCCGCUGUUCUGACGGUACCCAAAGAAUAAGCACCGGCUAACUUCGUG
rnacentral:rRNA from 1 species